AUGCAAGUAUUCAAAUAUAUUUAUCAUCAAGGGAAAUUUUUUUCAGAUUCAUAGAAGGAGAAUAUCAUUUGAGAUCUAGAAAAAAGUAUUUAUUAUUCAUUUUGCAUAAAGAAUUGGGAAAAGAUGUUGAUUUAUUAUCUAUAAUUCAAAAACAUCCUUAUUGGAAAUAUGUAUCCUUGUUGAUAAUUACUAAAUCACUACAAUAUUUAAAGAAAUAUUAUUCAAUAGAAAAUAUAUGUCAAAAUAUUCAUAUCAUAUUGUAUCCAAAAUCGAAGAUUAUUUGCACAUUGAAUUUGUUGUAUAAAAAAUAUCCACAAGAGGAAUAUAAUUCUCAUUACUUAUCAUUAUGCUUAUACGAAUUAGAAAAAAAAUAUUAUUUUAGUGGAGAUGGAAUUUGGCUAAAUGACGUAUCAGUUUUUAAACCAAAUAUUUUUGAGGAUUUAUAUGA